AUUAUUCUAAGGCGCUCGGGAGAACCACUCUUAAGGAACUCGACCAAUUGACCCCGUAACUUCGGAAGAAGGGGUGCUCUCGCCGUCAUGGGCAUACGCCCGGCAGCGGUUGAGAGCGGCACUGAAAUGGCUCAGGCGACUGUUUAUCAAAAACACAGGUCUCUGCUAAGUCGUAAGACGACGUAUAGGGGCUGACGCCUGCCCAAUGCCGGAAGGUUAACGGGAGAGGUUAGCGUAAGCGAAGCUUUGAACCGAAGCCCCGGUUAAUGGCGGCCGUAACUAUAACGGUCCUAAGGUAGCGAAAUUCCUUGUCGGGUAAGUUCCGACCUGCACGAAUGGCGUAACGAUCUGAGCAUUGUCUCAAGGGUGGUCCCGGUGAAGUUGUAUUACCUGUGAAGAUGCAGGUUACCCGCAGUAGGACGGAAAGACCCUGUGCACCUUCACUGCAGAUCGAUAUUGGGUUUAGUUGUGGUUUGUAUAGGAUAGGUGGGAGUCAUUGAAGCUGGCGCGUUAGCGUCGGUGGAGACAACCUUGGAAUACCACCCUGACCUUAACUGAAUUCUAACUCCGAACCCGUGAAGCCGGGCGGAGGACAGUGUCUGUCGGGCAGUUUGACUGGGGCGGUCGCCUCCCAAAGAGUAACGGAGGCGCCCCAAGGUUCCCUCAGCACGGAUGGAAAUCGUGCGUCGAGUGUAAAGGCAAAAGGGAGCUUAACUGCGAGACCAACAAGUCGAGCAGAUACGAAAGUAGGGCUUAGUGAUCCAGCGGUCCCAUAUGGAAGGGCCGUUGCUCAACGGAUAAAAGGUACGCCGGGGAUAACAGGCUGAUAACCCCCAAGAGUUCACAUCGACGGGGUUGUUUGGCACCUCGAUGUCGGCUCGUCACAUCCUGGGGCUGAAGCAGGUCCCAAGGGUUCGUCUGUUCGCCGAUUAAAGUGGCACGCGAGCUGGGUUCAAAACGUCGCGAGACAGUUUGGUCCCUAUCCACUGCGGGCGUAGGAAAUUUGCGGGAAGCCGUCUCUAGUACGAGAGGACCGAGAUGGACAUACCCCUGGUGUUCCGGUUGUCACGCCAGUGGCAUCGCCGGGUAGCUAUGUAUGGACGGGAUAAGCGCUGAAAGCAUCUAAGCACGAAGCCCCUCCCAAGAUAAGAUUUCCCAGACCAUAAGGUCUCUAAAGGGCCCUCGAAGACUACGAGGUAAUAGGCUGGAGGUGUAAGCGUAGCGAUACGUUAAGCUGACCAGUACUAAUCAGCCCGUGCGGCUUGGUCUU
rnacentral:rRNA from 1 species